CUUCUCUUCCAGUGUAGAUCCACCGCCCAAGUUUGGAAUGAAAUUAUCGCUUGGCUUGGCAUUCACGACCAAUCUACGGCGGCUUGGCGGCACGAGGUCUCCAUUCAUGAUUGGUGGCUCAAAACGAUCAUCUCUAGAGGCCACAUCAAGAAGGCGAUUAUCUUGAUUAUAAUGCUUGUCUCGUUAAAAAUUUGGAAGGAGCGAAAUGGGAGAGUGAUCCGCAACAUGGCCACCCCGACCAUCGUCGUCGCUGCAAAAAUCAAAGAGGAGGUCCAUCUUUGGAUGCUGGCUGGAGUCAGUCAUGUGAGUACUCUUAUGUCGCGAGAGUAG
rnacentral:rRNA from 1 species